UGCCUCGCAGGGACUGGUGGGA
rnacentral:siRNA from 1 species